UUAGUCAUAGUUAAACCAAAUAAUAGACAAGAAUUAUUUACUGUAUAACCUCGAUAAUACAAUGUGAUAUAACAUAUACGAUGGAAAAUGUGCAUAAUUAUGGACUAAUAUUAUUUAUCCAGCCAAAAGAAGACAGUUUGGUCAGUUCGUAGAGGACAUUGAAUUCGAUCAUGUAUGUUGUUAUGACUUUUACAUCAUCAGCAGUAGGCCCACGUGCUCAAACCAGGUGGCAAAAAUCUAGCUGCCGAACCCCUUGGAACGAACCUAUGUGGUGACCAAACCCAUAUUGAGGCUGAGCUCUUAAGGCUGAGCCUCUCAAACAGAGGACGAGCCUGGCAGGAAAUCUUUAAAAACGGAUCUAUUAAGGUGUUUGAUGUGACAAAUCCUCGCCACAGCCAACCUACUUGGUCAAAUCUACUGCUAGAGGCUACAACUUAUGGAAAUAGAGUUGGACUAGCACUGAUAGUUAGAGAUUGAUUGAUGCUCAUGAUGGGAAGUUAUAAACACACGGAUGAGGACACGUGUCUUCUCAUUUGACGGUUCUUACUCACCCUCUUCUAUUAUAAAAGCUCACACUUGGUGUCAUUCCAAAAGUAAUACAAG
rnacentral:lncRNA from 1 species